CCCUGGGAGGACACCAGCCCCCAGCCCGGGCCCUGUAGGCGCCAUGGCCCCUUCCCGGGACUGCCCGAGCACAGGCCCCGGCCCCGGAGCCCCCGUGGGCAGAGACGAGGGGAAGGGAGGCACUGAGCGGCAGGGAGAGAUUGUACACAAAUGGGAGGCCUGAGCAGGCUGCCUUUAGCAGGGGAACGUGACCUGACUGCACAGGAGGCAAGGAACUCCCUUCUCUCGCUGACCAUGAGCCCUCAGUUUCAAGGCAGAUGUGAAGAGGAAUAUUUGACCCGUGGGAAAUGCAACUUCAGAUACGUAAGCCAGAUUGUACACAAAUGGGAGGCCUGAGCAGGCUGCCUUUAGCAGGGGAACGUGACCUGACUGCACAGGAGGCAAGGAACUCCCUUCUCUCGCUGACCAUGAGCCCUCAGUUUCAAGGCAGAUGUGAAGAGGAAUAUUUGACCCGUGGGAAAUGCAACUUCAGAUACGUAAGCCAGAUUGUACACAAAUGGGAGGCCUGAGCAGGCUGCCUUUAGCAGGGGAACGUGACCUGACUGCACAGGAGGCAAGGAACUCCCUUCUCUCGCUGACCAUGAGCCCUCAGUUUCAAGGCAGAUGUGAAGAGGAAUAUUUGACCCGUGGGAAAUGCAACUUCAGAUACGUAAGCCAGGUGGGACUGCCAUGUGAGCCCUGUGAUAGGAGCCGUGUAUCCCAACCGUGAACGUAGAGGCUGGGCCCAGUUUUUAGCUUGGUUCAAUAUGAGCUCUGCUGACUGAUUCUGUGAUCAAGAGCAGGCAAGUCUGCCCCCUGAGAGGAUGUUGUCGUGGGUGGAAGGGUUGAAGUGCAGUGACUGCGUCAACAAACAGGUGGUUUGAAAAGUCUUUUGGGCAAGGAUCUGGUACGCUGGUGUAAUGCCUUUUCCCUUUACAAAGGUGUCCAGUAAACACAAGUGUUCCUGCAUGUGUCCAGUAGCGCAGAGACCUCUGUACUUUCUUUGGACUGAUUGUUGUGUAAGAUCUGGGGGUUUUGGGACAGUUCUGAAAAUUGUUCAGAAGGUGUCUUGAAUGUUGGGUGAAAUGGGUCAUCACUUCCAUAAACCUCUAGCCUGUAAAGAAGAGCCAUGGAUGUAAGGAGAUUUUCUUUUUUUCUCUCCUUAUUGUUACUGGGAGGAAAAGCAGUG